AUCUCUCCUUCUGCAGAAGCAAAUCAAAAGCCUGAACAAGGGAGCUCUCCAACCUAACUUUUGCAAUAUCCUGAAAAAUUGACUUGGCCUUCUCAGAACUUAUAAUAAGAUCUUGUGGAUGCUUAGUAGGCAAACCGACCAGCAUUUGAACCUUAGCAAGCUGGUCAGCCUUAGCCUUUGUUAAUUUCCCAUCAACAAGAAUGACUUCAGCAUAUUGCACAAAAGCUUUGUCUAAGGUCUAUUCCAUGCAUACAUCCUUCAGCCUACAAGGGCCAUUUUCAAUUUUCAAGAGGCCAUUGAAACAUAGAAACCUAGAAAUUAGAAACAAACGCUAACUUCAGCUCCAACAUCAGUUGCACUAAGAUAAACGACAAUUGUUCAGCUCGGCAUAAAUUAUCUCAUGUGAAAGAAUACAAUAGAAUUACCAUUUUAAGCCAACAAAGCUUCAGAGCCCACAGAAACUUCAUUCGUUCACUACUAUAGGUUCAUCUUGUUAUGUCUAUCGUACAACAUUCUUAGCUUUUUAGAGGCCGUAGUCUUGAAGAGAGCCUAGAUCCACCACUGUGAGAGACUAUAUCUCACAAACAAAUUCACUAUUAUGGAAAAAUGAAAUGAUAUAACAAAAACAGCUAGAGACUGGAAUGCUCACAUCGAGAUAUGGACUUUAGGGGAAGAAAUUAAAAUAUAAAUCAUAAAUG
rnacentral:lncRNA from 7 species